rnacentral:rRNA from 1 species
UACGGAGGGUGCAAGCGUUAAUCGGAAUUACUGGGCGUAAAGCGUGCGCAGGCGGUUUGUUAAGUCUGCUGUGAAAUCCCCGAGCUCAACUUGGGAGUUGCAGUGGAUACUGGCAGGCUGGAGUAUGGUAGAGGAAGGUGGAAUUCCCGGUGUAGCAGUGAAAUGCGUAGAGAUCGGGAGGAACACCAGUGGCGAAGGCGGCCUUCUGGACCAAUACUUACGCUCAUGCACGAAAGCGUGGGGAGCAAACAGG